UACGUAGGGUGCAGGCGUUAAUCGGAAUUACUGGGCGUAAAGCGUGCGCAGGCGGUUUCUUAAGUCAGAUGUGAAAGCCCCGAGCUUAACUUGGGAAUUGCGCUUGUGGCUGGCGUGCUGGAGUGUGGCAGAGGGAGGUGGAAUUCCACGUGUAGCAGUGAAAUGCGUAGAGAUGUGGAGGAACACCGAUGGCGAAGGCAGCCUCCUGGGCCAGCACUGACGCUCAUGCACGAAAGCGUGGGGAGCAAACAGG
rnacentral:rRNA from 1 species